rnacentral:rRNA from 1 species
AAGGGCUGUCCCUAGUACGAGAGGACCGGGACGGACGAACCUCUGGUGUGCCAGUUGUCCCGCCAGGGGCACGGCUGGUUGGCUACGUUCGGAAGGGAUAACCGCUGAAAGCAUCUAAGCGGGAAGCUCGCUUCGAGAUGAGGUAUCCCACCACCUUUGAGUGGGUAAGGCCCCCAGCUAGACUACUGGGUUGAUAGGCCGGAGAUGUAAGCCUAGUAAUAGGUUCAGUCGACCGGUACUAAUAGGCCGAGGGCUUAACUAC